rnacentral:lncRNA from 1 species
CAUGCUUGAACAUUUAUCAUGAUAAUACUACACCAAAGAAAGCAAUCAAACCCAUACUUCCAUAUUCCGACAUGCCGGUGCCCUUAGGACUUGUCCUAAGGCAUAGAUAUAUCUAACAUUUGUGGAUUUCUCCACCAUAAUCAUAACAUUUGUGGAUUUCUCCACCAUAAUCAUAACAUUUGUGGAUUUCUCCACCAUUAACAUACUUUGAUUUUUCAUGCAUAACUUAAGCAUAAAUAUUACCAUGAAAAUCAUACCACAUAAGCAUAGAAGGUAUCUUACCGUAAAACUUGAAGAUCUUUGAUUGAAAUGAAUUGAAAGUGCUAAACUUUCUUCCUUCUCCUUUCCUUUCUUGAUUUCGGUUUUUUGCCUUCUUUUUAAGUGUAUAAGUGUGUUGUAAAAUGAAGGAAAUAUUUCUAUGGCAAUGGAUAUGGAUGUAUUUAUACUCAUAUAAAGAUAAGGAUAAAACUUGAUAUUUUUAUUUUUUAUUACUUGGUUUGGCCGACUUUGACCCCCCCCCCUUUUUU